rnacentral:lncRNA from 1 species
GGCAAAAACAAACAGCAACAAAGUGCUGGGACUGCUGGUGCUGCUGCUGCUUCGGCUACUGGUAAGCCAACUUUGAUAACUUGGCCAAAAAAGGCAACAGAAACAGAAACUACUUGAAAAGCAAACACAUAUUGCAACUUUUACUUUGAAGCCGUGGACUGGACGGGGGGAACUACAGAUUGGUCUUGGGUCUUGGGCUUGCUCAGGGUCUUGGUGGCACAGUCUUUUGGACCUGAGGUCGGUACGCUUUCAUGUUUCGUUUUUUGACAGCUGCUGUCAAAUGUUGAAAGGCAGCCCCCAGCUCCAAUCACCACAACACAACAGCAAAUCUAAAACAGAAACACACACAAUAAAAAAAAGAAAAGAGUCGAAAGGAGAGUUGAAGUUGAAUCAGAAUCAGAAUCGGCCCUAGCCCUAGCCUUAGGCCCUUAGUCAAACACAACACACACGAGCAUAAGUUUAUGUCGUACACCUUAUGGGGCAGCAGCGUCUAUGCUGCUCCUGAAAGGAGAAAGAGAGAGCGCAGGCACCACAAAAACAAUGAAAAACAUUUUUAUAGUUUCAUGCACGAAGUCCACGAAAUGAAAAAUUCUACAAAAAUUAAACUGACAUUUAAAUUGAUAGUUCAAGAGAUGCACACGACAGAUACGGCAGCCACAGAGUGUAGUGCCCCUCAGAACAUGUGUGUGUCUGUAUCUCUGACGCAUAGGUUUUAUAUUGCGGCUUAGGCUGGGAGCUGCUUCUGAUGAUGAUGUCGUCCUCCAGCAAUGCUCACGAUGCUGCCGCUGCCGCUGCUGAUAACAAAAAUCUAAAGAAAAUGCUGAAAAAUAUUUACUUUUUGCCAUUAAGGCAGUUGCAUUUUGCUUUGUGGCAAAUGUGGCGAGAGCUCCAUAAAUACAAAUGACGAACGUGUGGUUGAUGAUUUAAUCAGUGGAGCUUUAAAAGCUAAAAGAAUGCAAAGGAAAACAUGACAAGCAUGAAGGAGGCUGCUAAUAGUCUUUAAAAUAUAUAAGCAAUGCAAAUACCGUCGUAAAAAACAUCAAAGACACAAAGGCAAGCCAAACAAUGAGGCAAAAAAAUCAAGAAUAUUAUGGAAAUAAUUAUUCAAGCCAUUCGGAGCAUAACUAAAAUAUUUAUCACAAAAUCCACACUAAGCUUAGAUGCUCUAGCAUUAUUAUGGUACAAAAAACAGGUAUUUAAAUAGCCAAAUAUUUUCAUGCUCAUUCGAGUAACUUGUUCAACUAAAAUCAAUGUGUUCGAGGAGUAAAACAAUCUCCAGAAAAAGCUUCAACCAAAAAUCAACAUCCACAACACCAUCCACAACUACAGCAAACAAAAUCUACAAUUUGCAUCUACUGCAACACCAUCCACAUCAACGCCAGGCACACACCACACCACACUCCAAUCCACACUCCGCACCCAAUGACAAUGUUGUCAAGUGUGUCCGUUGUCGUGUGCGUGUCCGCUAUCACCCCAAGUGCCGCUGAUGGAGAUACAAAGAUACACAGAUACACUACUCUAGGCAAUAACACGGAAAAUACAUACAGAAAUAUUUUCUCUGUAUAGAUGGGGCCGCUGCAGCGGCGCUAAUCUUAUAAUUAGCAUUCCUGGCAGAUAACAACAACAAGAACAGAGUCAGUGACAGGCAAGUGACCGAAAGAAGAGGGGGAACCCCCACUGCCAGCGGCUGUUGACUGCCGUUUGCCAAGAGACUUGCUUUCGGACUACAAAUAACAAACAAGUUGCAAGCUCUCUUCUCUCCACUCUCCUGUCCCCUCUCCCUGCCACACUUGACUGUUAAUCGCGUUGCAUGAUAACUGCACAUUAAUUAAAAAAAAAAUAUAGCAAGAAAAAAGAGGAGAAAGGGGCCAGAGGUGGUUGGGAAAAUGAAGGAAAAUUACAGAUACAAGUAAUACAUUUAUGAAACGAAACGAAACGAAAAGCCCAGAGAGUGCUAAUUGAAUUAUUUUGCAACAAAGAGUUUGCUUCGUUUGCUUCUAGUUUUUCGUUCUACAUUUAAUUACACACCCUUCCCCACCCCGCUACCUCGCUGUAUCUCUUUUCCCUGGAAACCCUCUCAUACGAGAGUAUUGCUUACCGUUCCAGGAAGACCCACAAAUGCCACGCCAGACAAAAGCAAAACAGUUCCUCUCCAUUCUAACGGUUAAAUCCCCAAAAAAAAAAAAAGGACACACAACCCAAGUUCAAUUUUUUGGGGGUACACAAUUCAUAAACCGAAACACAAGGCCAGAAGCUCUCGGUUUUCAAUUGCUUUUGGUAAUCCGAGAGGAGCAGCAGCAGCAGCAGCAGCCCCUCUAUCUCUUGAUGCGGGCUUAAGAACAGAACAGAAAGGUCCCCAAAAAAAAAUAAAAAACAUAUUAGUUUCCAGCAGCAGACAGAGGCACAAACUCUCGUACAAAAGAUACAGAUACACAGACAGAGAGAGAGAGAGAGAGAGAGAAAGACACUGCUCAAGUAUCUGCAAGUGCACGCAAUGUUCCCUCAUGCAACUGUGCCCCAUGGCGCAUAGUUGUCCUCUGCCCAGCCCUGCACUGCCCGGCCCAGGGGCGUAUUCAGACAUUUCAACAGCAUGUCGCUUCAUUUAAGUUUUUUGCAUCAAUGCACUCGUGACAAUUUGUCAUAAAAAAAAAAGACGACAAAAACAUAUAAAGCCAAGGUCCAACCAAAAACUGGCCAACUGUCUAACUGGCCAAGCAAACUGGGGGAUCAUACGCGUGUGGGAUAAUAUCUGGGGACUAGCUACAUACACUCCAGAAGGCAGAAAGGCGUGUCCAUGCCCAAACAGGGAUAGGCUGCGUAUUGUUCUGGAGCCUUGGACUUUCCUUUUGAAAAUAAAGUUCUCUAAUGUGGUUUGGGGUCACCAAUUUGCAUGUCCUCCGCAGUCGGGGUCACCAGCUGAAGACUUUCAAUGUAGUUUAAGCAUUUUUAUGGCAGAAAAUCUUCCACUCUUUCCCUAGUUUCAGGUCUUUUGCUCGGCUGGGUGUCUUCUAUUCUCCUACUCGAGCUCUCAUUAGCCAACCAUCGUUCUCGCCAUCUGUGCAUCGAAACUGUUUCGAUUAUUAAUGUUUUGCAUCCACUUAGGCGACUUAAUGGCUGCCUAAUUACACGAAUUUAAAGCCCAUGUUUGGGUUUAAUCGUCUGGAGUCAUCGUUUAUGGUCAGCAUAUGUAUGGCAGUGGCACCCCCGUGGUGGGAUGGCGCGCAUCAACCAGAACCAGAUGAGGCAUUUAAAUGGUCUGUUUUGUGAUCACUUAAAGCGCCAACAACCAAAACUUAUGCAUAUUUAUACUUAUUAUUCAUUCAUAUCUCUCAUAUUCAAAUUUUUAUGAUGCAUAAUGCUGGGAGGGGGCGUCGGGGCUGGUAGCACCCCCUAGUGAAUGUGGAAGGUGGACUUUUAUUACCAAUCAUUUUUGAAUUUGUUGCCUUGCCUUGCCUUUUUGCUUCUGCUGAUUCUGACACUGCUGCUGAUGCUGAUGCUGAUGCGACGGGUGCAAGCAACUUGUUAUAAAUAUAAACUUUGGAUACUUAUGAACGUGUAUAUUUCCCCUUAUAUAUAUAUAUAUAGAUAUUUAUACGGAUGAGCAUGUGUGUGGUGUGGUGUGUGUGUGCAAGUGAAUUGAUUGUAAAGCUGCCUUCGUCCAACCAACCAAGCGACGCGAUUAUUUACGGUUUAUUUUCAACACUUCAAAAAUAAACGCAAACACACACAGGCACACACAUGUGCGGCGGGGUGAAGGGUGGGUGUGCUGUAAAAGGGGGGGGGGCCCAUUUUGUGAGGGGCCAAAAGCGCAACAUGAAAUUUCUCUCUCCUGCUCAUGCAUUCUGUUCAUACCCUGGGAUUAUUGUGGGUCGGCUCCGCUGAUUUUUUUGCAGAUUUUGGCAGGGCAGAGCAGAAAAUUCAAGUACUUUCGAUCAGCAUUUAGACAAUGAUUCAAAGACUCGAUCUUAGGAGACAAAUCCCUUCAUUAUUGCAGAGAUAUUUGUAAGAAAAAAUGUAGUCUUCCCAAAAACUCACAAAAAUGCACAAAAAAAGAUUCCCCCACAGCUGCACUCUCAUCCUGCAGGGUAUCCCACACUUUGAUCAGCCUUCGACAGUGCCUCCACUGCUUGGUUUUAUUUUAAACACACAAAAAUAUUGCAUACUAAUUUUAAUACAUAACACGCGGACGGCUUUGAAGGCAGAGAGCGAGAGAUCCAAAAAUAUCAACAGCGCAGAGCGGCGCGGUGGAUACGGUGGAGCUGCUGUUGGCAGGGGGGCAGGCACAGGGCAGAGCAGGUCUAAAAGUGUCAAGCGAGCGUUUUUUUUUUGGCAGGUGGAAAGGCAACGACAAGUGCCUGAUGCCGAUGCCGAAUCCGAUGCCCCUGAUGAUGCUGCUAAGAGAAGAGAAAAGAUGCAGUGGACACGGACUGCUUGCAUUCAUAUUUCAAUAUUUUCGGUGGGCCCCAAGCCAAAAAUAGAUCCAAAACAGAACAUAAGAGAACAGGGAAGAGUCAAAGAUACAGAGGAAAGCGAUGCAGUGGAAGGAGAGGCAGGCAGGGCACGCACGUUGCAUAGAAAAUAAAACACUGAAAAAUUAAUUUCCACAUCAUUUUUAUGAGGCAAUUACUCAUCGACACCCUCUCUCUCUCACACACACUCUCACAAAGUGUAUUUUUAAAUUUCAAUACAACAACAAUUAAGAGUAGAAAAGCGAGGAACAAGCAACAAAAAGCCAAAAUUGAAUCAAUGGAACAUCGCGUAUGCGUAAUUGUAAUAAUAACUCAUUGAUAGAAGAUAGACCUUCUGCGCCAGCCCAGCCCAUCCAUUGCCAUAAGUUUAAACAAACCUUGCUCACAGACAGUGCGUUUCGUGGCUGUCAAGUGGCUAAUGCAAAGUUAAAGGCAGCUAAGCAGAGGGUAUAGUAAGAAAUUAUAGAAAAUAUUGAAUAUUUUUUGGGAUUUUAAAUGGAUUUUUUGAUUGAAUAUGAAUGCCAGUGCACAUGUAACCAAAAGUACACUCCUUAUAGCCAUGAAAGGUAGCUUAAUCUAGUAUCAAUUUAACUAGACAACAAAAUAUAAGCUUAUUGUUCAUGUUUCUUUAGCCCCGAAACGCACUGUCUUUGUGGAGUGCCUGCCUAGCCCCCAUCUGCAUAUUAUUCCCAUAAUUAUUGCACCCCAAAGCCGAGCCAGCCACGUCCCUUAAAUAGCUACCAAUAUGCAGAAUCGAUCCUUAAACUAUGGAUAUUAUUUUGUGUGUCUGUCAUUUGUUUUUUCCAACGUGUUUUAGUGUUUUUUUUUUCUUGUCGGAAAUGCUUUUAAAGCGAUAAUUGCUGGCCUGGCCUGGCCUGGCACUACGUGUUUUCUUACCUUUCCUUUGGGUUACUUUCCCCGCUUUUCCCACUGUCAAAUUAUACAACAUUUAUCAUCAAUUAUCGCAGAGUUUUUGGUGUGGAGUCGUUGUGGGGGUUGUAGGUUGUAGCUUGAAGAAUGAUUACACUACAACCGUUCUGGGUUUGGGUUUGGGUUUAGGUUUGGAGAGGCACGCAACACACAGACAUCGAGUAUGUUGCAUGAUGUGUGUGGUGUACGUGUGUGCGUGUAUGUGUGACGACAUCGUGUCAUGAAAUUGAAUAAGCAAAUGACGUGCUGACUGCCAGUUGCAAACUAAAAAAAUGUCCAACAUGACGGAUCCCAAAAAGAGCCUCCCCCCCCCACCAUUCCAUGGCAUUUACCUCUCUACUCUAACCACAAAACGCAGUUUAAAUGGGAACUACUACUAUGCCAAUGCCACUGUCCCCCCCGCCACUCUUUUGGAUCUUUUCAAUAUGACAUUUCAUGCCAAAAUUGUAGACAAUUGUCAAUUGUAACAACUACACACCCCUUUUUCCCAUUAUGCCCCUUGUGUGUUUAGUUCUCUCGCUCUCUCGUCUCUCGUCUCUCGUUUCGUACCCUCUCCCAGCAGUCCGACAACCACAUGCUAAACAAAUGUUGACAAACAAUUAUUAUUUUAUUAUUAUUUGUUUGUCUGGUUGUCUGUGGAAAGUGCCCCUCUCUCUCUCUCUCUCUCUCUCUCUCUCUCUGGCUAUCACUAUCUCUGCCUCUGCUCUGGUUCUGUCCGUCUAUCUAUCAGCCAGUCAGUCAGUCAGUCAACCAGUCUGUCUGUCAGUUAGUUUGCAUGACUUUCCACACUCACAGAUACACCAACAGAGACAAUGUCACAUAUGGCAACGUCAGUUGCCGUCUAACCGUCUGCCUGGGUUCUCGCUCGCUUCUCACUUUUCGCUUUGUUUGUUGACUUUCCGUCUAACUGCUAUUUGUAAUACCAAUCAUGUUUUGUCGUUUGAUGAUUUUAUUAUCAUUCUGCAGCGCAAAAUCUUUACACAUGCAACAGAAAAAACAAACAGAAACUAACUUUUAAACGUACAAAAAUUAGAACUAAAUAAAUAAACGAAAUUGUGGCAAAAAUAUUUAAUAAAGUUCUCGCGUGGCUGUCCAGACUGAUUGUUUUUGAAUGAAAUAACUGUCAGCAAGGGCAGGAGGCGGCAAAUUGCCUUUAUGUAGUGCAUUUUUGGGUUUUAGAAAUUUAAAUUAAGUCAAAUUCAUUUUGUGUUGAGAUACAGAUACAUUAUAAAAGUAUCUUUUAGCUGGCUGCAGCAGAUUAAUGUAUCUGUUAGCUGGCUGCAACUAAUAAAUGUAUCUUUUGCGUGGCAUUCGCUAUCUUUCCAUGUCAAAAACAUACAAGAAAAUCAUUUCACACAAAAUGUAUCUUUGAUCUAAUCGCAGUAUCUUUCCAGCAUUUGAAUGCAUCCGCAAUCGCUGGGUGGAAAUCCAAAAAUUCUAUGCACUGGCAUACAGUUUUCUCUCUCUCUCUCUCCGUUUCCAUUUCCUUUUCCCUCUCUGCCCGGCCUGAGGCAUAACUAAUAACUUAAUUCGAUUCGUGGAAAUGUGCUGUGGAUACUCGAGAGCUGCCACACAUUUCCACAUUGGGGCGUAUCUAAACACAGAAAUCUAAAGCUUAAUGGCUCAUUAAAGCGGCCAGAAGAACGAUGAACGGAGAGAGGGAGAGAGCAUCCGUUUGUAUCUUUUGAUUACAAAUUUAUUGUGGGGUAAUAUGAAUAAAAAUGAAAAUGAAAAAAAAGAAUUCCCAAUGAAAAUGCUGUGGAGGCCUGCUAAUUAUGCAUGCCACAUAUGCAGCGCCUCCGAUGCGUUUGCAUUAGAAAGAAGCAAAGCAACAACGGCAGCAGCAACAACAGCAACAGGCUGCAGCUGCUUAUGCAAUCCAAUGCAACGCGCAACAACAGCAACAACAGCAACAAAAAAAAUUAUAAUAAUAAUGCAGCAACAAAAAACAAAAUACACAAAAAAAGAGAGAAAGAAAAGAUACAAAAUGCGAGUACGUAGCCGUACGAGAGCGUUGCAAUAAUGGCAAAACGAGGCAGCGAGGAGGCAGCGUUGCAGCGUUGCAGCGAGGCACGCAGUUGGCCUACCAAAUGAGCAUUUCACAUCGUGUGAAUUUUAAUUAAAGCCACACAAAUACACAGCCAACAAACACACACACACACACACAUGCAUAGCUACACAGAUAGAUGCAGCCAUAAACAAAAGUUAGAGUGACGCCGAAGCAACGCACUCUCUGGCGCUGCCUGCCACUCACCGUGUGCUAUGCUUACUGCUUAAUUAAAUGCAACAUAUGCCGCUAAUUAAAUUUAUGUGCCCGUCGCAAACUUUGAUUAUCAAAAAUUAUUUAUGCAAAAUCUCCCUGUGGCAGGAAAUACCUGCAACCAGCAACCAGCAACCAGCAAGUGCAACAGGCAGCCAGCCAGUAGCCAGGCAGCGGGCAUCAGGCAGCAGCUAGUGGCAACAGGCGAUGCCUGGCCCGAUAAGCCCACAACCAGCAGCAGCGGCAGCAGCAGCAACAGCAGCAGCCCUAACAACAAAGCUCGGCUUAAUUUAAUUGUACAUAGUUUUUGGUUGCAUAUUCAAUUAUGUUGCUGCUGCCUCUCUUUCUCUUUCGGUUUAAUGAGCUGACUUGACUGUAGGUAGUCAGUCAGUUUUCAGUCAGAGUGUAGAGUGUUAUUUGCUUUGCUUUUGCUCUGUGUGCUUAUCAAAUCUUAAUGUCAUUCGAAAGUCUAACCCGCUUUAGUGAUUCGUCAAAGGAGGAACACAGCUCUGCGCUGCUCUCAAAGAGCUUAGGCGGAGGCAGCGGCAGCGGCAGCGGCAGAUAAGAUACCAACAACUGUUGUUACUGCUUCUCCGAAAGUGCACUGCUUUGAUGAUUAAUGCACUGCUUUGAGCUUACACCUACCUCUUGCUACGUCAAUUAAUGCACUGCUUUCUAUAUAGAUAAACCAACUGCUUUUGGGCUCUUUUUGCUGCUGCCAAUGAACUGCCUUUUAGCUGUAAUAAAUAACAAUUCCACAAUAUUUUCGGGGGUUUUCAUUGCAUAUUUUACACUUCAUUUUUCAUUUAGUAAUUAUUAUACAAUUAAUCCCUUUCUAUAUCUGUUACAAACACCUAGUAAUUAUCUCUAAUAUCUGCUCCCAACUUAACAUUUUUGUCUCCCAUUUAUUCGCUCAGUUUCUCAAUGGAAUCACAAUUUGCCACUUUCUAUGAAUGACAAACAACUUUCUGUUGCAUUUCUCUAAUGCAUUAGCCACAAUGUACAUACUUAUACAACUAUGUAUUCAUAGCUUUAUAUACACAUGCAUCGUGCUAUGCGCUUGAGUGUGUGGCAAACACUUGCACUAUGCGCAUAAUCGACCAAGGAAACCUCUUACAUAUUUAUUUAUUGUGCCAAGGCAACACAAAAAACUGCAAAACGAGCAAAAAACACAGAAAAACUUAGUGUUGCGAUGAGUCAGUACACUGAAGAAAAUAGAGGGUACAAAGUUUACGAGUUUAAGUGGAAUUAAUUGAGUUCGAAGUUCUAGCAAAAUUCUUUAUACAAAUCUUGGAAUUUAUCCAAUGAAAAGAAACAAAAACUAGACUUUACUUUUCACCUUUAAAUAUUAAUUUCGAGUGCUAAAAAGAUUCUGUUUCGUUUUUUAAUGUUAGCCACUUAAAUUUCUUGCACUGCACCAAACCCAAAGGGGGUAGAGUGCGGAGCCACCGCUGUCCAACCGAAGCUGAUGUCUUUAUAUGUGGAAAAAUGUUGGGGCUGGGGCAUUCCUCUAUGCACCCCACCACAUCCCUUAGUGUAUUUAAUUCAUUAAAUCAAAAUUAAUGCUUAUUUACGCUCAAUUUUGCAGCAUGCCACAAAGAGCCGCAAGAGAGCCUCUCAGAGCCAAUGUAUUGGCAACGGAGCAUAAAUUAAAAUAUAUUACAGUGUGCAACUUGUUUAAAAUUAGCUUGCAACUGCAACAAGCACAUACAUUAUGAGCACACACUACAUCAUCAUCAUCAUCAUCAUCAUCAUCAUUAACACGAUGAUCAUCAUAAUUAGCAGAGCUACUUUUAGUGCGGCAGUGGAAAAUUCGCUUCGUUGGCCGUAAUUUAAUUAGUUUUCCUGCGGCUAGAAAUUCAAUAUUGUUGAUGGCUUCGCCAUUUGACACAUGAUUGACGGCAGAAACUGGCGAAAAUUGUAUCUGCCAGAUACACAAGCUGAGAGCUGAGCCAAACGGGUUUCCAUUUGGUGGGAAAAUUGCUCUUAACUCAACACACAAUUUUGAUAAGAAGAUCUGCACCAGAGAUACUCAAGAUUUAUAAAGACUUUCGGGUGGUAAAGUGUGCAGAUUUGUGUGCACUUUCGGGUGGGGAAAUCAUGGAGUUUUCGAUACACUCUCUGGCGGUGACUUGUGGAGAUUUCUAUACACCUUUCAGAGGGGAUUUCCGCUUGCUAAGUUUCUUAUAUUUCCUACAACUUUUGAGUGUAUCCCAAGCUUCGUCCAAUGCCCAUUUUCUAGCUGCCUUUCAAGUAGAUUUCAAGCACUAUAAUUCAACGAUAAGGCGCACUCGCGAUAGGAAAAUUAAAAACGUUUUAGCAGCGAUCCCCAUGGCUCGAUAAGCGCCUUCUGAUCGGACGACAAUCAUGUCAAAGCCAGUACAUACCAAAAAUGUAACUAAAUGUAUUAACAAGCGCGACAACAAAACUGCGAGUACGUGGGCCAGGUACGGGGCCAGCGACAGGCAUGGGGAUGGGGAUGGUGAUGGGUCGCAGAUACAGUAUCUACAACUCAGUCCGUUUGUGUGUUUUGUGUUUUGUGAAAUUAUUUAUAAAUGAAACGUUGUGUCAUUAUACAGACGGAUGAGGGGCGCGUCUCUGGCCAGGCGAUUAGCCCUGCCCGUUGCAGGCCUUUUUUGUUGCUGUUGGUUUUGUUUAAUUUAGCUAAAAGUCCAUUAAAUGUUAUAGUUCUUACGGCUGCAACGUAUUAACGUAAUUGUUUACAGGCAGCCAGACUGGACUUCUCUUCUUUUGCAGCUCAAGGAGAGAGCGGCAGGGACGUUCCAUCAUCAAUAGCCCGUAAUUAUUAUGAUGUGUGACAUGCAGGGCUGGCCAGUCCGGGCUAGUCCGCGAGAGUCAUUAUCAUUAUGUAGAUGGUCUGCAGUUGGGUGGAGGGGAAGCACAGUCGCUCCUGGAUGGUGGGGAAACUGGAUUUUUACAACGAUUUCUGCCUAAUCAAAAGUUAACUCUGCAGUUGGCUUUGGGACUGCACUUUUGGUUUAGUUUUAUGAGGGUCACUGCCGGCUUGAACCAGGAAGUACAUCAAAUAGGCUGCCCCGGGCAGGUAUUUGGCUGCGCAAGGCUACAGGUUCAUCGACUCACAAAAGAUAAACUCCCCAGAGCCAAUAAAAUCCCCCGACACAGCCUCCCCAUGCCACUUGUCAACGCCAUCAAAUGGCAAAAGGCAAAAGGCAAAGGCAAAGGCGAAGGCAGUGGAGGUGCAGGCAGCAGGGAGCAGGGAGCAGGCAGCAGGCAGCAGGCAGGCAGCUCAGCAGUUGCCUCACUUUAUUUUUAUUGCAUUUUAGCAACGCUUACAUUUGAACAAUCAAUUCAACUCUUCCUCUUUUGCUGCUGCAGUGCCCCAUCCCGACGAUUCCCUCUAAAUGCCUCACUUUACUUAGCAAACUGAUUUUUAUCAUCGUUUGGCCGUCGCGUCGUUUUAUGAGCAUCAUCAAAAACUAAUAAAAACUCAAUGCGUUCUUUAUUUGCAGGCAGUCGAAACCAAAUGGAAAAAGUCAGACAAGAGAGCCGCACAGACAGAGCAGCAGCAGAGGCACAGCCAGAGGAGGCAGCAGGCAGAGCAGCAGGCAGAGCAGCAGGCAACAAGGCAGACAGUCAAAGGCAACAUGUUGCACAUGCACUCGCCAAAAGCAAUUUGCAUACAAAUGUUGCCAAGGCACUUCACCGAGAGGAGAGGAGUGAGCCACACAAUCACAAAAUCGCGCUGAGAUGAGGCAAAAGGCCCGUCCCCGGAAGAGGGUAAAAGCCGCUUCAUAAUUUGAUAUUAAACAUGCACGCGCUUGCCCUCCCUCUCCCGCUCUCU